CAGGGAGGAGAGGCCGAGGCCCGGCUGGCGGCUGGAGUAGGAGGGCGGAGGCUGGAUGAGAGGUGGAGUGUGUCCGAAGGCGCUGAGCCCCCGCUGCUGCGAGAGGAGCUGCUGGUGAGUUACCUGAGUCCUCCGACUGACAGGUGUCCGUAGGAGCUGCUGGCGGCCGAGCUGGAGCGCGAGUUGUUGAUGUAGGCGACCAGCGAGUUGGGCGAGGUGCGGAUCAUGGUCUGGAGGUCGAUGCUGGCGUCUGACAGCGGCGAGAUGGACAGAGCCCUCUUCCUGCUCAGCCUGGGCGUCAGUCUGGGGCUGGAGAACCGCGACACUGUGGACACACAGGGUUGGAGGGAAUAGAUGCAUCGUUCUGGACCUUCUGUGCUUCCAGUUUUCCCAUCUUGUUAAUUGCAACCUGGUGUGUCUCGUCUGCGAGCUGCCGGAUCGCAGAAGGCAAGAAGAACAAAAAGACGCAGAG